rnacentral:rRNA from 1 species
GAUGAACGCUGGCGGCGUGCCUAAUACAUGCAAGUCGAGCGAACGGACGAGAAGCUUGCUUCUCUGAUGUUAGCGGCGGACGGGUGAGUAACACGUGGAUAACCUACCUAUAAGACUGGGAUAACUUCGGGAAACCGGAGCUAAUACCGGAUAAUAUUUUGAACCGCAUGGUUCAAAAGUGAAAGACGGUCUUGCUGUCACUUAUAGAUGGAUCCGCGCUGCAUUAGCUAGUUGGUAAGGUAACGGCUUACCAAGGCAACGAUGCAUAGCCGACCUGAGAGGGUGAUCGGCCACACUGGAACUGAGACACGGUCCAGACUCCUACGGGAGGCAGCAGUAGGGAAUCUUCCGCAAUGGGCGAAAGCCUGACGGAGCAACGCCGCGUGAGUGAUGAAGGUCUUCGGAUCGUAAAACUCUGUUAUUAGGGAAGAACAUAUGUGUAAGUAACUGUGCGCAUCUUGACGGUACCUGAUCAGAAAGCCACGGCUAACUACGUG